rnacentral:rRNA from 1 species
UACGGAGGGUGCAAGCGUUAUCCGGAUUCACUGGGUUUAAAGGGUGCGUAGGAGGGCAGGUAAGUCAGUGGUGAAAUCCUAGAGCUUAACUCUAGAACUGCCGUUGAUACUAUCUGUCUUGAAUAUUGUGGAGGUGAGCGGAAUAUGUCAUGUAGCGGUGAAAUGCGCAGAUAUCAGGAGGAACACCAAUAGCGAAGGCAGCUCGCUGGGACGGUACUGACGCUGAGACGCGAAAGCGUGGGGAGCAAACAGG